AGAGCCUCCCCAGCUGCAUCCUAUCCUGUAAUCAAGACUCAGCUCUGCCACAGCCACUCUUCUCGUGUGCUCCGACCCAGUUUCCAGCCCUUCAUCCCGUCAGGCCUGUUCCUUUGCCUUGGUUUUCAGCUCGGCUCAGCUACUCCAUGGCUUCUUCUCUAGACCUGCUCAGCUCAGACCAGGCUUCCCCCUGCUCAGCACUGCCAGCCUGCAGCCCAGUACCCGUCGCUCCCUGGCAUCAGCUCAGUUCACCUCAUUCCUGGCUCAUAUCUAUUCCCUUUAAGCCCUGCAAUAAACAAAUCUUCUUUUAUUUAAACUCCACUCUCCUGCCUUGGGUUUACUAGCUCAGCCAUAACACUCUGGAGCCUGAUCGAAAGGAAAGCUCACCCUGACACACUGUAAAGGAACAUUCCAGUAUUAUUAUUUAGGGUUUAUUUGGGGCAUUUUAUGCCUUUAUCAGAGAGUCAACAGAGAGAUGGCAGGAAAUGUAAGGAGAGAAAGAGAUGAAAUAUGUCUGUAUAUACCAGUAUAUGUAGACUGUACCUGUCUACACUGAGUCUAAAUAAAAGCUGUGCAACUGUUAA